rfam:TPA: Bos taurus chromosome 12, whole genome shotgun sequence.
UCCCUGGGGGUCCAGUGGUUAAGGCUCUGCACUCCCAACGCAGGGGACCUGAGUUCAAUCCCCGGUCAGGGAG